rnacentral:rRNA from 1 species
CCUACGAGUGGCAGCAGUGAGGAAUAUUGGUCAAUGGGCGCGAGCCUGAACCAGCCAAGUCGCGUGAGGGAAGACGGUCCUAUGGAUUGUAAACCUCUUUUGUCGGGGAGCAAAAGACGCCACGCGUGGCGUUCCGAGCGUACCCGAAGAAAAAGCAUCGGCUAACUCCGUGCCAGCAGCCGCGGUAAUACGGGGGAUGCGAGCGUUAUCCGGAUUUAUUGGGUUUAAAGGGUGCGCAGGCGGAAGAUCAAGUCAGCGGUAAAAUUGAGAGGCUCAACCUCUUCGAGCCGUUGAAACUGGUUUUCUUGAGUGAGCGAGAAGUAUGCGGAAGGCGUGGUGUAGCGGUGAAAUGCAUAGAUAUCACGAAGAACUCCGAUUGCGAAGGCAGCAUACCGGCUCCAGACUGACGCUGAGGCACGAAAGCGUGGGGAUCGAACAGGAUUAGAUACCCCAGUAGUC